UUUGAAGUGCUGCAGGGCCAAGCAGGGGGACCAGAACCACUACCUCAAACUGACCAGGGUUCAGACGCAAGGAGGAGUGUGGUGGUAUUCCCUCAGACACUGUUUGAUGCUGGCUGCCUCCUGCAAGAAUCCUCAAGCUAUAGAGAAAAUCUACAAUAUUAAGACAGACCAGCAGAGAAGCCCAUCUGCAUUUGCAUCUCUAACGUGGAGCAGCUGGUGGCCGCCAAGCCUCCCUUCAGCCCUCUGCUCUGGGAGUUUAUGAGGAAUGUGUAUCCAGGCGGCAUCAGCUGCAUCGUCAGCAAAGGAGACUGGCUGUUCAAACUAUGAGUGGGACCAGGGUAUGACCGUGUUGGCACCAAGGAUAGCAUCAUGAUCCGCGUUCCUAACCACACGGUGACGGGCCACCUAUGUGAUAUCACCAGACCCCUUGCUAUCACGUCAGCCAAUCCAGCGGAGAGCCAGACAGCAACCACCACACCAUGGUCAUCAAUCGACUGGGACACAAGAUUCAAGGGGUACUGUGUGACGGAGACUCAAAUGAAGUUGUUGCUUCCACGUGGU